GGUGAGAUGGCCGAGUUGGUUAUGGCGCCAGGUUAAGGUUACCUUGACAUUAAUUCCUGGUCACGUACAGUGGCGUGGGUUCGAGUCCCACUCUCAUCA